GAUGAACGCUGGCGGCGUGCCUAAUACAUGCAAGUCGAGCGAACAGAUAAGGAGCUUGCUCCUUUGAGGUUAGCGGCGGACGGGUGAGUAACACGUGGGUAACCUACCUAUAAGACUGGGAUAACUUCGGGAAACCGGAGCUAAUACCGGAUAACAUUUAGAACCGCAUGGUUCUAAAGUGAAAGAUGGUUUUGCUAUCACUUAUAGAUGGACCCGCGCCGUAUUAGCUAGUUGGUAAGGUAACGGCUUACCAAGGCGACGAUACGUAGCCGACCUGAGAGGGUGAUCGGCCACACUGGAACUGAGACACGGUCCAGGCUCCUACGGGAGGCAGCAGUAGGGAAUCUUCCGCAAUGGGCGAAAGCCUGACGGAGCAACGCCGCGUGAGUGAUGAAGGGUUUCGGCUCGUAAAACUCUGUUAUUAGGGAAGAACAAAUGUGUAAGUAACUGUGCACAUCUUGACGGUACCUAAUCAGAAAGCCACGGCUAACUACGUGCCAGCCGCCGCCGUAA
rnacentral:rRNA from 1 species